UAAUCAUUAAGACGAUACUCCGUUGUUACAAAAAAAAAGUUUCAUGAACAUACUGCGGUUUUCAUUUUAGAUUAAAAUUUUGGAAAACAAAUACAUAAUGGCACGAUUCGUGUCGGUGCAUCGGCGAGGUCUGCCGUGGCUGUCGGGACUUGCAUUUGGCUUGUCGGCAAAAUGAACGUGUCUGGCUCGCUAUGGACUCCAGGAAUAGCGUCGAACGGGACAGGUCAAACGGAAAUAAAGCAAGCUGCACUCACCGAACUUUGGACAUGUCUGAUAGCUUCACUGGCAGCUCGUGAAUAAAAUACAUGCUAUUUCUGUCUGCCUUUUUCA